rnacentral:rRNA from 1 species
GGGUUGUGAGGUUAAGCGACUAAGCGUACACGGUGGAUGCCCUGGCAGUCAGAGGCGAUGAAGGACGUGCUAAUCUGCGAUAAGCGUCGGUAAGGUGAUAUGAACCGUUAUAACCGGCGAUUUCCGAAUGGGGAAACCCAGUGUGUUUCGACACACUAUCAUUAACUGAAUCCAUAGGUUAAUGAGGCGAACCGGGGGAACUGAAACAUCUAAGUACCCCGAGGAAAAGAAAUCAACCGAGAUUCCCCCAGUAGCGGCGAGCGAACGGGGAGCAGCCCAGAGCCUGAAUCAGUAUGUGUGUUAGUGGAAGCGUCUGGAAAGGCGCGCGAUACAGGGUGACAGCCCCGUACACAAAAAUGCACAUAUUGUGAGCUCGAUGAGUAGGGCGGGACACGUGGUAUCCUGUCUGAAUAUGGGGGGACCAUCCUCCAAGGCUAAAUACUCCUGACUGACCGAUAGUGAACCAGUACCGUGAGGGAAAGGCGAAAAGAACCCCGGCGAGGGGAGUGAAAAAGAACCUGAAACCGUGUACGUACAAGCAGUGGGAGCACGCUUAGGCGUGUGACUGCGUACCUUUUGUAUAAUGGGUCAGCGACUUAUAUUCUGUAGCAAGGUUAACCGAAUAGGGGAGCCGAAGGGAAACCGAGUCUUAACUGGGCGUUAAGUUGCAGGGUAUAGACCCGAAACCCGGUGAUCUAGCCAUGGGCAGGUUGAAGGUUGGGUAACACUAACUGGAGGACCGAACCGACUAAUGUUGAAAAAUUAGCGGAUGACUUGUGGCUGGGGGUGAAAGGCCAAUCAAACCGGGAGAUAGCUGGUUCUCCCCGAAAGCUAUUUAGGUAGCGCCUCGUGAAUUCAUCUCCGGGGGUAGAGCACUGUUUCGGCAAGGGGGUCAUCCCGACUUACCAACCCGAUGCAAACUGCGAAUACCGGAGAAUGUUAUCACGGGAGACACACGGCGGGUGCUAACGUCCGUCGUGAAGAGGGAAACAACCCAGACCGCCAGCUAAGGUCCCAAAGUCAUGGUUAAGUGGGAAACGAUGUGGGAAGGCCCAGACAGCCAGGAUGUUGGCUUAGAAGCAGCCAUCAUUUAAAGAAAGCGUAAUAGCUCACUGGUCGAGUCGGCCUGCGCGGAAGAUGUAACGGGGCUAAACCAUGCACCGAAGCUGCGGCAGCGACACUAUGUGUUGUUGGGUAGGGGAGCGUUCUGUAAGCCUGYGAAGGUGUGCUGUGAGGCAUGCUGGAGGUAUCAGAAGUGCGAAUGCUGACAUAAGUAACGAUAAAGCGGGUGAAAAGCCCGCUCGCCGGAAGACCAAGGGUUCCUGUCCAACGUUAAUCGGGGCAGGGUGAGUCGACCCCUAAGGCGAGGCCGAAAGGCGUAGUCGAUGGGAAACAGGUUAAUAUUCCUGUACUUGGUGUUACUGCGAAGGGGGGACGGAGAAGGCUAUGUUGGCCGGGCGACGGUUGUCCCGGUUUAAGCGUGUAGGCUGGUUUUCCAGGCAAAUCCGGAAAAUCAAGGCUGAGGCGUGAUGACGAGGCACUACGGUGCUGAAGCAACAAAUGCCCUGCUUCCAGGAAAAGCCUCUAAGCAUCAGGUAACAUCAAAUCGUACCCCAAACCGACACAGGUGGUCAGGUAGAGAAUACCAAGGCGCUUGAGAGAACUCGGGUGAAGGAACUAGGCAAAAUGGUGCCGUAACUUCGGGAGAAGGCACGCUGAUAUGUAGGUGARGUCCCUCGCGGAUGGAGCUGAAAUCAGUCGAAGAUACCAGCUGGCUGCAACUGUUUAUUAAAAACACAGCACUGUGCAAACACGAAAGUGGACGUAUACGGUGUGACGCCUGCCCGGUGCCGGAAGGUUAAUUGAUGGGGUUAGCCGCAAGGCGAAGCUCUUGAUCGAAGCCCCGGUAAACGGCGGCCGUAACUAUAACGGUCCUAAGGUAGCGAAAUUCCUUGUCGGGUAAGUUCCGACCUGCACGAAUGGCGUAAUGAUGGCCAGGCUGUCUCCACCCGAGACUCAGUGAAAUUGAACUCGCUGUGAAGAUGCAGUGUACCCGCGGCAAGACGGAAAGACCCCGUGAACCUUUACUAUAGCUUGACACUGAACAUUGAGCCUUGAUGUGUAGGAUAGGUGGGAGGCUUWGAAGUGUGGACGCCAGUCUGCAUGGAGCCGACCUUGAAAUACCACCCUUUAAUGUUUGAUGUUCUAACGUUGACCCGUAAUCCGGGUUGCGGACAGUGUCUGGUGGGUAGUUUGACUGGGGCGGUCUCCUCCUAAAGAGUAACGGAGGAGCACGAAGGUUGGCUAAUCCUGGUCGGACAUCAGGAGGUUAGUGCAAUGGCAUAAGCCAGCUUGACUGCGAGCGUGACGGCGCGAGCAGGUGCGAAAGCAGGUCAUAGUGAUCCGGUGGUUCUGAAUGGAAGGGCCAUCGCUCAACGGAUAAAAGGUACUCCGGGGAUAACAGGCUGAUACCGCCCAAGAGUUCAUAUCGACGGCGGUGUUUGGCACCUCGAUGUCGGCUCAUCACAUCCUGGGGCUGAAGUAGGUCCCAAGGGUAUGGCUGUUCGCCAUUUAAAGUGGUACGCGAGCUGGGUUUAGAACGUCGUGAGACAGUUCGGUCCCUAUCUGCCGUGGGCGCUGGAGAACUGAGGGGGGCUGCUCCUAGUACGAGAGGACCGGAGUGGACGCAUCACUGGUGUUCGGGUUGUCAUGCCAAUGGCACUGCCCGGUAGCUAAAUGCGGAAGAGAUAAGUGCUGAAAGCAUCUAAGCACGAAACUUGCCCCGAGAUGAGUUCUCCCUGACUCCUUGAGAGUCCUGAAGGAACGUUGAAGACGACGACGUUGAUAGGCCGGGUGUGUAAGCGCAGCGAUGCGUUGAGCUAACCGGUACUAAUGAACCGUGAGGCUUAACCUUACAACGCCGAAG